rnacentral:lncRNA from 1 species
CUUCCCAUCCCCCUCCGUCGGACCCUCCGGGCCCUCUCCCCUUCCCCCAGCCCGGGACCCGCUCCGUCCCUGGCCCCUCGCCCUGGGAACCUCUCCACCGUGGGCGCAGCGCCUCGGCAGCCCUAGUCCGAGUCGUGGAGCGGCGGGCGAGAUCUUGGCGGAGAGAAUGGGGGAGGGGGCUCCCCCAAAACUCAGAAACGAUGCGGCGUUUUGUUUGUUUGAGUGGACCGUGUGUCGCUGUGUUGCCUCGAAUUCCUGAGUCCAGGCGUCCUCCUGCCUCAGCCCCCGGAAUAGCUGGGACCACAGGUGCCGCCCCAACUCCGGGCUGGAAACCAGAGGUUUACCGGUUCUGUGUGCGCCUGAGUAACCGUGCGUACUGCCGCUCCCCACCCUGGGGGCCGCGAGCCUUAGCGAAAAGGCCUUCGGGUCGAAGCUAGCACGAGCCAAAUGUGCUUCUUUCCGAAUUUCUCACCCCCCCACAACUGUUUUAUUUAACCGAUGAGGUGUUUUCACUAUUACUUUGUAAGAGCUCUAUAUUAAUGGAUGAGACUGAUUUUUUGGUAACAAAACAUUUUAUUUUUGGCAUUUAAUUUAUGUAAUAGAAAAGGAAUGCAAUGAUUUUUUUAUGCAAGCAUAUUAGAAAAAUAAACCCUUCUCCCCAGCACCCUGCCAGUAUACGCAGAGGUGGCAAUGGAGAGUUUCGUGCGUACCCUUCCCAAAUAUGUGGGUGCAAGCUGCCGGCUGAAGAGCCCUCACCCUUUUCUGUGGCAACUAGAAGCGGAGCUCGGAAGCCCUACUGCGCUCUACUGCGCUCGCCUCCUGCGGGGUGCUUCCGGCUCUCGCUGUUGGGAUCUGUUUUGGACAUCCCUUGCGUCGGCCUUACGCACGGGCUUUUCUGGGCGACCGGGGUAAGAGGAGUGAGACUCAAGCCCUGUUCCCUCCCAUUAUGGGGGCCUGUUCCUCCAUUCUUGCUGUGGGGACUUUGACUGUUAGUGGUGAGGUUGAGGUUGAAAUUGCUUCAAUUGUUUUUUUAGCCAUUUGUAUUUCCAUUGUGAUUUGCUACUUCAUAUUGUCUUACAAGUUGAAA